rnacentral:sRNA from 1 species
AGAACGCGUCGGGGCUGAGCCGGGGUCCAGCAGCCGCCGCUAUGGACAUCCCGCCGCUGGCCGGCAAGAUCGCGGCGCUGUCGCUGAGCGCCCUCCCGGUGUCCUACGCGCUCAACCACGUCUCGGCGCUCUCGCACCCCCUGUGGGUGGCAUUGAUGAGCGCCCUAAUCCUGGGUCUGCUCUUCGUGGCGGUCUACAGCUUGUCCCAUGGCGAGGUCUCCUAUGACCCACUCUAUGCUGGAAGACAGCUAUGUGGUGGGCUUCAUGGAGUUCUACACCAAGGAGGUACUUGGGGGACGACCAGGGAGCCCCCUACCGCACUGCCCGUCUGAGUCUCCCACCUGCUCCCACAGGGAGAGCCAUACCUGCGCACAGCGCACGGAGUCUUCAUCUGCUACUGGGAUGGCACUGUUCACUACCUCCUCUACCUGGCCAUGGCUGGCGCCAUCUGCAGAAGGUGCAGGAGGCAGGGAGAGGGUGGCCCCUGACCCUGGGAGAGAAGUUGCAUCCUCAGAUGGGGUCCCAGGGCAGGGUGGAGCCAGAAGUGUCUGUAGGAGAAAUCAGGACGCCUCUCUAGGGCUCCAGCCAGGGGUGGCCAGGAGAAGGUUCCAGGGAACGUCUCAGGUGUAGGUGGUGGCCUAGCAUUGCUUACAUCCACCCUGUGCCUGGGCAGCCACUUCUGUUCUUGGACAGAGGGUCUCACUGUUAUUCCCCCGUUCAACUCCCUGUUGUCCCUUCCAUCCUGGGCAAAACUGAAAGGGACCCGGAGCUGGGAAACCCACGGUGGUCUCCGGGCCCUGGCUGGGGCUCUGAGAUUACGGAGUGACUACCUGCUGGUCACCCCUCCAUCCCCUGCUCAGGAAGAGAUACCGGAAUUUUGGACUCUACUGGCUGGGUUCCUUCGCCAUGAGCAUCCUGGUGUUCCUUACAGGAAACAUUCUUGGUGCAAGAGGAACAAAGAAAGGGACUCCUGCAGCGUCCGGCUGACCUGGCCCUUGUCAUAUAUCUCAUCCUUGCUGGCUUCUUCACUCUGUUCCGGGGCCUGGUGGUGCUUGAUUGCCCCACAGAUGCCUGCUUUGUCUAUAUCUACCAGUAUGAGCCAUACCUGCGGGACCCUGUGGCCUACCCUAAGGUGCAGAUGCUGAUGUACAUGUUUUAUGUCCUGCCUUUCUGCGGCCUGGCUGCCUAUGCUCUCACCUUCCCUGGUUGCUCCUGGCUGCCAGACUGGGCCUUGGUGUUUGCUGGAGCCAUCGGCCAGGCACAGUUCUCGCACAUGGGGGCUUCCAUGCACCUGCGCACACCCUUCACCUACCGUGUGCCUGAGGACACCUGGGGCUGCUUCUUCGUGUGCAAUCUGCUGUAUGCGCUGGGCCCCCACCUGCUGGCCUACCGUUGCCUUCAGUGGCCCGCAUUCUUCCACCAGCCACCACCCUCCGACCCCCUAGCCCUCCACAAGAAGCAGCAUUGAGAGAGCUGUGGACUCAGGACCCAGGACUCUGUUUACGUGCCCAGUCAGCCCUACCUGGGGAAGCGGGGGUUGGGUGUUUUAGAGACAGGAGGGACAUCUCCGGGUGUCUUUAGUCUUGGCUAUGGUAGUUUCAGUCCAGUGGGUGGGACGGAGACCAACGACCAAGUGUUCCUGCAAGGAGAGCCUCCCACAGCUGUCACCAUGCUCCAACUCCCACACGAACGCUUCUACCCCUUCCAGAACUUACCCAUCAUCCCCCCAUGGAUCCUUUCAGUAAAAACCCUUUCGAUUUCCAGAAUA